rnacentral:misc_RNA from 1 species
UCUGCUUACUGGAUUGCUCAUC